CGUAAAACGGUUAUCUCCUCCUCUUGACUCUUGUAAGUUAUAACCCUUAUCGAAUCGAUGCUCACUCUUUACCUAAAAACGACUCAUCCUCCCCUCAAAUCGCCUUCACGAGCCUACCCUUUGACCAUCGCACAUCUCAAACAGGCAUGUGGCGUCUUGAUUCUGCCAACUGAAACCCAUAUCGUGUUCUUCAUCGCAGCUGUUGCAGCCGUUCCACACCAGCAAUCAGCUCCCUUGGAUUACUCCGACUACUAUCACCGACGUCACGUUCCAGUUGAUCUCUCUUGUAAGUCUGUAAAAGUGGAAGGUUUGAAGAUGCAUACCAAUUGCUCGAUGAAAUGCAGCAACCAAAAUAACUUCUAUUUCACAUGUUUUACUAGUCUUCUGGAGACAUUGGACACGGUCAGGUGCAAUCUAGCAAUUUUCUGGAACUAGCAAUGGCUUAUUUCUCCAGUGGUUAUAUUUCAACCACUUAUUAUUAUGGUGGUAACUGGUUAUGAUGGGAUUAUGAGUAAUUGGGUGCGUGUGACUACUCUAGAUAUGUGGUCGGUAGGAUGAGACAGCAGCCCAUGUUCUAGUUACCUGUCCUAUGGCCGAUUUGGUGUGGAGUCAGAUAUGCUACUGGUUAAAAUUACUUAUGAGUUAUGCUGUGGAUAAUGCAAGUCAGGUUUUUCAGAUGGCCAGGAAUGACCAGGUUUUCAAAGGGGUAGCCCCUCGGUUUUUAAAAUGGUGGAAGAAGCGAAAGAAGUGUCAUAUGAAUGGUUAAAAACUUAUCAAAAGCGGAAGACGUCAAUUGGAGGAGCUGGAUCAAUCACGACACUCUAAAAUGCGGAAAAGCAAGGUUUUCUUUAGGGCUGGAGACAGGGGCUUGCUCUACCAUAUACCAAGGGUAAAUAUCUUUAAACUGAUGAUGACAGGGUAGAUAUCAUGAGAAGCUUUGGAGUAAAGUUUUAUGAUAGUGAAAUUAUUACUCAAAAGAACAUUCAAACUCCUCGUAACAAUUGGAAUUUGGAAUAUGUUGCUUCUACACAAUGUUUUGCUAACAUUUGGAAUAUUUUCGGGUGGAACUUAUUAUUGAAGUUAAAAUAUUAUGAUUUCUA